rnacentral:rRNA from 1 species
GUUGAUAGGUUAAGAGCUGAUUAACUGGACGUUACCCACAGAAGAAGCACCGGCUAACUCCGUGCCAGCAGCCGCGGUAAUACGGAGGGUGCGAGCGUUAAUCGGAAUUACUGGGCGUAAAGGGUGCGUAGGUGGUUGAUUAAGUUAUCUGUGAAAUUCCUGGGCUUAACCUGGGACGGUCAGAUAAUACUGGUUGACUCGAGUAUGGGAGAGGGUAGUGGAAUUUCCGGUGUAGCGGUGAAAUGCGUAGAGAUCGGAAGGAACACCAGUGGCGAAGGCGGCUACCUGGCCUAAUACUGACACUGAGGCACGAAAGCGUGGGGAGCAAACAGGAUUAGAUACCCUGGUAGUCCACGCUGUAAACGAUGUCAACUAGCUGUUGG